rnacentral:misc_RNA from 1 species
GGCAAGGAUAGGCCGGGGUGUUAGGCGUGCCCUGUUGCCCGAAAUCGUCUUUAGCGGGGGCCGAAGCUUUUUGAGCGGUGUGGUUUCCAGGGCCGAAAUGCGAAUCUACCUCGGCUCU